AUCAGUUUCUGUCACAAGGUCUUUUAGACCUUAUUUGUACUGCUGUUGUCACAACAUUUGUAGGCUACAGAGAGGCUCCAAAAUACUUAGCUAACCAAACAAAGAAACUAUAUAUUUGAGGCAUAAGCUUGUAUGCUUAUGGAAAGUCUGAAGGUAAGGUAGGUGAAGGAAUCAGCUGUGUAUCUCAGAGAACCCUGCCUGCACAUCUAAUAGCACCUGAGAUCCAUUGGAGCUUCAGAGCCGUGACUGGUCAAGCUCCUCUCCUGGCAUGUGCAAAGGACAGACGGAUCCUGCUCAGUUCAGACUCAAGUCGUCAUCCAGCAGCUGACUGGGAUGUGUUUUUUGUCAUCCAUUUCUUAGUGAAAUAACUCAACAUUGAAUAUGUCUUGGAGACUCAAUCUAUUAGAACACCUUCCUAGGAAGAACUUUCUAUCUUGAUCACAAGCACUUCUUUCGGGUCACAGAGAGAUUCAAGAACAUUAUACUGGGAUCAAUUUCUGUUUUGUCACCACUCCUCCCAAGAUCAAGCCCUGAGCAAAUGAUAAAGCCCAUCAGUCUCUGCGGUGGAUGUACGAAGGUUUAUGCUGCACGAUUCACAUGGAAGAGGAGAGAAGGUAGGAGUGAGAUGGCUACUUCCCACUUUGUACAAGACUUUGAAAAUGUAGCGGACUUAAUUAAAAUCAAACCUGUGGAUCUAUAGGGGAAAAGUCCACCUUUCCUCCUUUAACAAAAGAUAGCGCUCAGCCUGCAAAAUCUUCUCACUUGCACUUCAGGUUUAAGUCCCUUUGUAUGUCACAGAGGAAAUUCUUUUCCUUGAUAAUCUCCUUGCUGGCCCAUAGGUAAUUGAACAGCAGAUCCACACAGUAAACCCUUCAAAGGAAUUACAAGGAUUACACAUCUCAUAUUCACCUUGUUUCACCCUCUGCAGAUGUUGAAUGUGAGCCAUCAGUUUCUUCCUAAUCCAUGUAACUCAGAUACGUGGAGCUUUCUGUCAGAUACCUCACCCGUUUUCCUUCUUUGCCUAGCAACUGUUUCAGAACUGAACUCAACAUUUUAUACAAAAGUUAGCUCAAGAAGCAGACAGGGCUAUUCAAGAGAGAAAUGUGAGAAAUGGCUGUUCAAGAAGAAAGGAGGAAAGUAUAAAAUAGGUGUAGAGGAGAUUCUUAAGGGACCGGAGAGGGCUAUGGCUUGAUCCAUAGGCUGGUAUGUGCCAUCCCAUCUGUGGGCUAAAAGUCAGAUAAACACGAACCACUCUGCUGGCUGACAACACACCUUGAGCAAAGGACAGAAUGUGGUGACAUUCUGCAAGCAUUUAUUGGCUGUAGAUGCAAGGGAGAGCAGUGAAUUUAAUUAGUGUAGGCAUUUUACAGAGGUGAACUAAAAAGUACAUU
rnacentral:lncRNA from 7 species